rnacentral:rRNA from 1 species
AUGCGUGGUGAAGUUGACAUCUCGCGUUUAAACUUCGGGAUCCUCUCCCUCAUCCCUAAAGUGCAGGGGGCUGAUAACAUUAGGCAGUUUAGACCCAUAGCGCUGAUAAACGUCCCUUUUAAAAUCUGCGCCAAAGCCUGCUCGACGCGUUUAUCCCCGGUGGUGGCUCACCGUAUUAUUAGUAGGAACCAGUCCGCGUUGAUCCGUGGGCGCCACAUUUUGGAGGGGCCUCUCGCUUUGCUUGAGAUUGUUCACUCGCUCAAGUGUUCUUAUGAGCCCGCGAUUCUUCUUAAACUAGAUUUCGAAAAAGCGUAUGACCGGGUCAAUUGGGACUUCCUUAGACAGGUCCUCUUGGGAAGAGGUUUCUCGGCCGUUUGGGUUCACCGCAUGCUGCAACUGGUCUCGGGGGGGCCAGACAGCUAUCGCGGUUAA